rnacentral:rRNA from 1 species
AUGGAAGGGCUCGACGUCUUCCAGCACUACCGUCUGAAUCCUACGGAUGUGGAGGCCGUGACUUACUACCUGCCACGCCUCAUCGCCGGCCAGCUGCAUGGCGCCGAGAAAUUCAUCCACCACGUCGACAUCUACAGCUGCGAGCCCAAGGAUCUCGCCGCCAAGAUUGCGCCCGUGCCGCAGGCCGCCAGCAGCGGCGACCGCUUCUUCCUCACCACGCGCAAGAGCAAGAACGGAAGCAAAACCCAGAGCGUGCGCACCGCCGCCGGCGGCACCUGGACCGUCAAUGCUACCACGACCGUCAGACACGCGGGAGUCGAGGUCGGCGAGAGGAAGAACCUGUCGUUCAGGAAGAAGGGCAAGUCCACCGGCUGGGUCAUGGAGGAGUACAAAUGCUUGCUGCCAGAGGCCGUCGUCUCUGACGGGGUGAAGGUGUUCUGCAAGAUCCACUUGGCUCAGCAUCCUCCUGACGCGGCCCGCCAAGAAUCGGCCGCGUACAAGCUUCAAGAACCGCAACGAGAGCCUGUGACUGCGAGCACGCACGCACAGAAGAGGCCAGCGCCGGCUGCCGCCGCCGAUCCUCAUCCGCCGCGCCCCAACAAGAGGAUGCGAGGAGCAGUCCCCGUCCCGGCACCUGCCACACCGUCGUUCUGGACGCAUGGUGAGGCAGCCAGAGCAAUGUAUGGCCCGCUGGCUUGUACCAACUUCACUGUUCAGGAUGCACAAGUACCUGCUGUGGCUGUACCAGCGGCAAUCGAAGGUGCUUCAGCAUCAUGCGAGUCCACUACAACAUCCAGCCACUCCGGCGUUGCUUCUUCCUCAGAUAAUAUGCAGCGACAAGCUCAAGCUCCUGAGAUUUCCUCCCAGUCAGAUGUGCUGGAGUCUGUCAAGCAUUACAGCCAACAACAGAUGAUUGUUCCUGAGGCUGGCUCAAGCAUUGCAAGGAGCACAUCUGAAGAGGAUGUCUUUGAGCCAUUGGAGCCUGUUUCCAAUUUGCUGGAUGGGGAGGCUGAUGGUUUUGAUAUUGAAGAACUAAUGAGAAUGAUGGAAGACGACCCAAUUGAAGCUGAGCCGGUCACUGGAGCCAACACUGGCGUGGAGAUGGGCCAACAGGAACCUUUGUACCUGGAUACCUUGGACCAAGGCAUGCUGGACGACAUGCUGCAGUCGGAUGAACCUUACUCAAUGUGGAUAUCAGAGGAUCGGGCCAUGCACGACCCUUCCUUCCAUGAUGCUGACAAGCAGAAGAGGUACAAUGCCGCGUCUGAUCUUGACGCUCCAUCGCUUCAGGGACAGGACCACUUGUUCAAACCGCGGCCGUGUUUCUCCGAUCCAUUUGAAGCAGCGUGGAAUGCCGAAGAGGCGCUCGAGAAGGAGAAGAGGGACAAUCUUCACGCUGGACCGCUUGGAGGACACAACAACUUCUUCUCGUCUGCAAGUGUCCAUUAA